rnacentral:rRNA from 1 species
CUCAGUAACACGUGGACAACGUGCCCUAAAGUGGAGCAUAAUCUCGGGAAACUGAGGAUAAUUCUCCAUAGACCAUGAGAUCUGGAAUGACUUAUGGUUCAAAGUUCCGGCGCUUUAGGAUCGGUCUGCGGCCUAUCAGGUAGUAGUGGGUGUAACGUACCCCCUAGCCAGUUACGGGUAUGGGCCUUGAGAGAGGGAGCCCAGAGUUGGAUUCUGAGACACGAAUCCAGGCCCUACGGGGCGCAGCAGUCGCGAAAACUUCACAAUGGGCGAAAGCCCGAUGAGGGAAUUCCUAGUGCUAGCACAUUUGUGCUAGCUUUUCCUUAGCGUAGAUAACUAGGGGAAUAAGGGCUGGGUAAGACGGGUGCCAGCCGCCGCGGUAAUACCCGCAGCCCGAGUGGUGGUCGAUUUUAUUGAGUCUAAAACGUUCGUAGCCGGUCUGAUAAAUCCCUGGGUAAAUCGGGUGGCUUAACCAUCCGAAUUCCGGGGAGACUGUCAGGCUUGGGAUCGGGAGAGGUAUGAGGUACUUCAGGGGUAGGGGUAAAAUCCUGUAAUCCUUGGAGGACCACCGGUGGCGAAGGCGUCAUACUAGAACGAAUCCGACGGUGAGGGACGAAGCCCUAGGUCGCAAACGGGAUUAGAUACCCCGGUAGUCUAGGGUGUAAACGCUGCAGACUAGGUGUUGGAGGCCCUACGGGGGCACCCAGUGCCCGAGAGAAGUUGUUAAGUCUGCUACUUGGGGAGUACGUCCGCAAGGAUGAAACUUAAAGGAAUUGGCGGGGGAGCACCGCAACGGGAGGAGCGUGCGGUUUAAUUGGAUUCAACACCGGAAAACUCACCAAGGGAGACCAUCACAUGAAAGCCAGGCUAAUGACUUUGCUUGAUUCUUGGAGAAGUGGUGCAUGGCCAUCGUCAGUUCGUACUGUAAAGCGUUCUCUUAAGUGAGAUAACGAACAAGACCCUCACUUAUAAUUGCUACUCGUCUGUCCGCAGACGAGGCACAUUAUCGGGACCGCUGGCGCUAAGUCAGAGGAAGGAGUGGACGACGGUA